AGGCAAAUUUUCUAUCCAUUCAUGAGAGAAUCAGAAAAACUCAACUCUAUUUUCACUAAUUUCCCCAUCAUUUAGUUUUACAAGUUAUUACAGAUAAUAUUGAACGAUUACAGGCCAAAAUAUAAAUAUAAAAUUACCUAGUAACACAUUUGGGACUUCAAACAGGCUUAGAACUUCAUAUGGACUACCGGCCCAAACUCCAAGUGAUGACAAUGUGCUUCAGACACCAAAUACAAAAGGCAGACCAACAUGCCAGCCCCAAACGAAUAAUUUACUUGUCCAAAUGGAUGCCAAACAUAGUCAUACAAGUAACAAACUAUACAUUGGAUUGAUUAAAUAGCCUUUUGAAUACUCCACACUGAAUUCUCAAAGCUGUAUCUAAUAGGAGAUUUCACUAUAGCAUGUUGACAAAUUCAUAGGGCAUACAUAGACAGGUUCAUGCUUGCAUUCUUUGAGAACAAAGCUAAGGUGAUAAAAUUUACUAACAUGAGAUAGCAUACUACUUCAAGUAAAGUUCCAAAGAAAACAUGGUCCGAGAUUGGCAUAAAGAAUAUGGUCGUUAAUCAUGGACAUAAAGCAAAACAGAGUAUAGUUCUCACAUAUGGACGUCUAAUUUGAGAAAUGAAUGAAAAUUUGCUAACCAAAUAAGUUGGUGGGCAUGGUCUACAAACAAACCUUAAUUUGAACAUGCUAAGUAGAAGUCAUAGAAAAAAAGGCUUAAGCAAUACUAGAAUUUAAUAGGCAAUGAUACAUAAAAAACUAGACUAUUAGAUUACACACAAGAGAAAAGUUGGAUGUUGCACUUUCACGUUAUAAACCAUAGAUAGUACUAAACAACAUGGGAUUAAGCCAGGAAGGGAACACACCUUAAAGUUCACCAUUAGCAGGGAAAUACGUUUGUCUAACACCAUGGCUAAGAACGGACUCUAGUAGGGUAUUAAGUACACAUGAAUGAUCCAGCAGGAAUUAGAACACAUGAGUUGAUUUAUCACAAAGAUACAGAAUAAAGUAGGGAGAUAAACUCAGGAUGAGUGGCAGGUAUAUUCAAACACACAAAAAACACACUAGGCUAGGCAUGCUUAAGGUAGUGAGAAUCGUUCAUGAUGAACACAUACAGUAGGCAUACAACAGAGUCAGAAGUUGGAAAAGUUCUUAGUCAUAAAAUGACUGGGGAAACCCAGUAGCAUAUAGAUUCACAAAGUUUAAGUGACAUAGAUGUACAAAACAUGAACACAACGAGAAGGAAUGAAAUUGACAUAGCCAAAGACUCUUACCAGUUGUGAAUUAACAAACCUCUAAACAAGAAGAAUAAUUCCAAUAAUGUUUCAAUCAUUGACAACGAAGAGAGCAACAAAACCCAAUACUCAGUGCAUUAGAGUUCCCAAGGGUUUCAGAUGAACCCCAGGUAGUGCUUGUACUGAGAAGGUCAGUUAAUCAGAAUUUAGUGUGCUUGGCUUUUUUAGCCGGCUAAGAGGCAAGAGUGCCGAAAGUAUAGAAAAAUAGAGUUGUGGUAACAGUAGUUAAGUAAUGAGUUGUUGAGAGUUCCAAAGGGAAUGGUGAAUGGGGUUUAUAUGAUAGCAAAAUUAAACAAAUAAACAAGAAAAAAAUCAAUUAAACAUAAAAAGGAAAGAAUAGCAUGUGGAAUAUCCAUAAUUUAGAUAUGGAUAUGAUGAUCGGUGCGUUAAUACCACGUGUAGCCCCUCUUUGAAGAGUGAUUGCCAGGCAUUGCAUUAAUGUGAUCCAUAUUAUCACGCCGCUUUUCCUACACCCCCACAAAGGGUAUGUAUAAGGGAGUUUUUUCCAAUUUAACUGACAAUCAAAACGUGAUUAUAUUUAUUAAAAAAAUCAGAGUCGCCACUUGGGAUAAUUUAUGGUGUCCUAAGUCACCAGUUUAAAAUUCCGAAUCGGGGAAAAAUUUGACUCUGUUUAUGUCUGCGAAUACAGAAACCCGGUAAGAAGUUCUGUUAACCCGUGAGAAUAUGUUAAAUGGGCGAUAUGGUUAAUUGGCACACCUCAUUCCAUUCUUUAAAAUUCCAAUCAACUGAUGAUAAACCUAAAGGAAAUCAGAAUAUUUUCUAUGUUAAUCUAUAACUAAAUUGGCUAUAAUAGGCCUAUGCUUAACGGGCCAUUGCCUGAAAAGAUUUCGUUCCUCAACAUCCCAAGCAAACGCGGGAGAGAAACCAAAACAGGCCCAAACGGUACUAAGGUGCAUAACUUCCAAUUUUUGAAAGCCUUUUUCAAGGUUGGGCCCAAAAUAAGCCCAAGACCUUUCAACAUCCCGAGCUUAAUAGGUGAGAACUCAGCCUGAAUUCCUAACACCCAAGCUACGUCUAAAACUUUGAGGAUUCCAACAUGAACUAUAAUGACUAUCAUUAGUGCCCAACAUAUAUAUAUGCAUUUGAUUUCUAAAUGGGCCUUUAUACCACUUAAUAGACAGUUUCAAGAGAUUUCUAACUGUGGCAUAAAUAACAAUUGGAAGUUUCACUUGGUAGCUAUGCAAUAUAUAGAUUUAAAUUUCAAUGCUUCAAGCAAUGAUUCCAACAAUCAUUUAACCAUCAUGCUUACUCAAGUACGAAUUCACUUUGACAUAUGUUCAAAGCAAGCAGGCGACAAAAGAGACCCAAUGAGAUGAUCCAGCUUUACAACUGAAAAUUUAAACAUUGACCUAAAGUUGAACAGGAUUAUAAACAUCAACUGCAGUUUUGAGCAUUAUUCAGGUAGUGCUUGUCAUUUUGAAAACUACAAAGGGAACCUAUACUAAACAAUGCUGAUGUAAACAAAUGAUAAGCAAACAUAUAAAGGUCAAGCAAUCUAACCAAUAUUCUGCUAAAACAGCCUUUUGAAGUCCCUUUGUACUAAAUCUGAACCCAGAUCCAUUAAAAUCACUAAUAAAUAAAGCACAUGAAAUUGUGUAAUAUCGCAGAUGAACUUAAAUCCAAAACAGAAAUGGGUUAAUCAUAAUGCGAAUAAAAAAUAACUAGGAAAUUUGAAAGUUGUGAACAUAAACAUUUAAUAAAACUACAGCCCUUUAUAUUUCGAACUUCUAGCAAACAAACUUGCACCUCUUCAUUUCAUAUGUUAGUGAGAUGAAAAAUACCUAGAAAUAAAAGAAACAAUGCAGCAAGUUUCAGCAGAAGGAAAAACAGCAUCAACCAACUCUAAACCCAACAAUAGAGCAAUAAAGACCACAUCAAAAUCCACACUAGACUUCAAUUACUUGAAACUCAAUCCAUUUUAAGCCAGAAUGCAAAAUUACGAAUUUCAGUGAUGUGAACUAGCUUAUUAAGACCAAAAGAACCAAACACAGGCAGGUAUUUUUUGUAUUUUUAAGAGAAUGCUAGGGAUUCAAGGUUAUUUUUCAGAGUUUCUUCAGGACUGUCAGCCGUUUCAGUUUUUGGGUGAUUUCUAUCUCUUAAUUUCCGACUUGAGAGUCAUGUUAGGAUGCCUUUACAAGCAAGGGACUAGGGAAGCAGUAGAAUGUUUAGAUUUUGCAAUUUUACCCUUUUAAAAUCUUCAUUUUAGCUUAGGUAUCACUUGUUUAAUUUUCAAAAUUCAAAUAGGCCCCCACCCUAGCUUCCUAGAAGCAUUAUGUAGUAGUUACUAAAGAUUUCUCUAUUUAUUUUUCCUAAUUUGACACUUGCAACUCUGUUAAAUACCCAAGAACUUGAACGGGUUCUGAAUCAAGCUGGCCCAAAAAUUAAUCUUGCCCUGGGCUCAAGAGAAACUACUCAGAUAUUUGCCCAUUUGUGCUUUUUAAUUUUCCGAAAAAAUUCAAGCCAUAAAUCACUAUCGAAAAUCUUAAUGGGGUGAAUGAGACAAAAUUAAAUUAAAGAAAAUAAUGGAUUAGUUAAUUCUAAGGAGACAAUCGAACAAACUGUAGUUUUAACAAACUAAAGCAUGCAAACAUGGCAGAUAAAUAUUAAAAAAACAAACAUAUGACAAAGAGGAGAAGAGGAGAUGGAAAAAAGAUUAAGGCAUGCGUUUAAACGAAAAAUAAGAAAAGGAAAAUGCAAGAAAUAGAACGAGAACUAAGAAUACCCCACGAUGAAUGAAUAAAAUCACAGCAUAUUCUUAAAAGGAUCCUCAAUUUUUUGCCAAAAUAGGCCUUCAUCAUGCGUUCUCGACUGAAAACACAUAAUUAAGGUCGACUUUGCCUUCAAAUUCUUCGAGACCUCGCCUAUCUGGCCUUUUUGGGAUUUUGGGUUAAUAUUUUUAAUCAAGAUUCGAACGAUUAUGGGGAGAUGUGAAGAAAAUGGAGUGGGGAUUUGGAAUAAGGAGGGCUUGGGAGUCAUGUAGUGUUAAUUUAGGAGUGUUUGGAAUAGGCGCCGCCACCGGUGGUGGUUGGAAAUUUUGGGCGGCGGCUAGGAUUCUAUGAACGGUCUCUAAGAGAGGAAGUUAGAAGAGACAAGAUGG
rnacentral:lncRNA from 1 species